UACGUAGGGCGCAAGCGUUGUCCGGAAUUAUUGGGCGUAAAGAGCUCGUAGGCGGCCUGUUGCGUCCGCUGUGAAAUCCCGGGGCUUAACCCCGGGCCUGCAGUGGAUACGGGCAGGCUGGAGGCAGGCAGGGGAGAACAGAAUUCCCGGUGUAGCGGUGAAAUGCGCAGAUAUCGGGAGGAACACCGGUGGCGAAGGCGGUUCUCUGGGACGGUACUGACGCUGAGACGCGAAAGCGUGGGGAGCGAACAGG
rnacentral:rRNA from 1 species